AUUUGGAUAGCUUAAUAUAGAGUACAAUAUUGAAGAUAUUGGGGUAGUAAAAUUACUUUCAAAUA
rnacentral:tRNA from 1 species